ACAUGCCUACAUCAUAACAUUAAUGCAUUGGAUCCCAUUAGAACUCCGUAGUUAAGUGCGCUCAGGAUAGAAUAGUACUGGGAUGGGUGAUCGUCUGGGAAGUCCUAAUGUUUUACAUGCC
rnacentral:rRNA from 1 species